UACGUAGGGUGCAAGCGUUGUCCGGAAUUAUUGGGCGUAAAGAGCUCGUAGGCGGUUUGUCGCGUCUGCUGUGAAAACUCGGGGCUUAACUCCGGGCCUGCAGUGGGUACGGGCAGACUAGAGUGCGGUAGGGGAGACUGGAAUUCCUGGUGUAGCGGUGAAAUGCGCAGAUAUCAGGAGGAACACCGGUGGCGAAGGCGGGUCUCUGGGCCGACACUGACGCUGAUGCGCGAAAGCCAGGGGAGCGAACGGG
rnacentral:rRNA from 1 species